UAAGAAAAUCUAAGAUGACGUACCUAAAAGGAACAGAGGGAGUACCAGUUCUGCCACCUCCAUGGCCUCCUUUUCCCCGCGAUUCCUGACGGGCGGGCGGGCGAUACGUCGUCUGUCAACCGCGCCGAACUGCCUCGACGAUCUGAAACACCCAGCAGCAAAAGAAACAUGAUGGUGUAGAACCUCAAGUAGGAGUAGAGAAGGAUAGCAAUGAUAAAGGAGAAAAUCUGGAUCUUCAGGAGCGCAAUGCCAUGAUCAGUUACACGCAGCUCUUAACAGCUCCCCCUUGUGAUGAUGAUACUUAUGAUGAUUUGUUCUACCGUCUACAAGCGAAUUAGAUAAUAUUUCAGAAAGUGUUGACUAGUAUUUUGGACAGGACAGAAAUAACUAAUAUUUUGGAUUUUGGGGGCUAUCUAUAAUCUUGUGGCCUAAGUGUACUAAGUAAAAUGGCCAAAUCUAUAUACUUGAAUGAUCAUCUAAGAACAUAUUUAAGUGUUAAGUGCUUCAUAAUUUUAAUCGUUCAAACUUCAGACCUACAGAAUUGUCCAGCUUGUAUAUUUUCUAUUGUGUU